rnacentral:rRNA from 1 species
GAGCCUACGGGACGCAGCAGUGGGGAAUAUUGCACAAUGGGGGAAACCCUGACGCAGCGACGCCGCGUGAGUGAAGAAGUAUUUCGGUAUGUAAAGCUCUAUCAGCAGGGAAGAAAAAAGACGGUACCUGACUAAGAAGCCCCGGCUAACUACGUGCCAGCAGCCGCGGUAAUACGUAGGGGGCAAGCGUUAUCCGGAUUUACUGGGUGUAAAGGGAGCGUAGACGGCGCGGCAAGUCUGAAGUGCAAGGCAGGGGCUUAACCCCUGCACUGCUUUGGCAACUGCCAUGCUCGAGUGCUGG